rnacentral:lncRNA from 1 species
CGCUUGAUGCGGUUUUCCACUCCAAACGUUCACGAUCAUCAAGGCUGGAAAAGGGGAGAAUUAUCGAGAACCAGACAGCAGACUCAUAAACAACCUCUUUAAGGAAAAAAAAACAUGGCCGCCCCUAGUUCAAAAGGUCAUUUACGUAAUUGUUUCAAGAUAAAUUAUGUCGUGAGACGUCUAUUGCACUGAGGCUCAGGUUUGUGAUUUCAGUUAGUCGGUAUCACCCGCGUCUGGAAUUAAGCGUUUGUAAUCGGCUUUUGGUAACAGUCGGUACGGAACACUGAAGCCUGUGAUCCAUAACUGCAGCUUUAAUCAAAUUGUGCUGUCGAUCAGUACUUCACAGCUAGCGGCGAGUGGAUGAUAGUGUUCCUUUGAGUCAUGACAGAGCCACAUGACAUACAGAAUAACAAAAACGCAACCAGAAUACUGAAAAUGAAGUCAUGCCCUGAAACUUUGGGUUGUUUUGGAUUUACACGACUCGUUGGAUCAAAACCGAAUCGACAAGAAGAAUUUGAUCAACUUUUGGAGAGCACAAGGUACAGCCAGCUUGAAGAACUUUAUUACGAUCAUGCUCAGCGAUCAAACAAACCGAAGCUCGCCAACGUGCUACUCAAGAUACUACAAAUUCAAGAAGUGGAAUCGAUUCAAGAGUAUACUGUGAACGGAAAUACAUUCAAGGUACACGUAAUAGAAGACACAGAGCUAUAAUAUAAGACAUUUGUAACAUUAUCCACUCGUCUUCAGGCUAGUUUUUAAACAAAAAAAGAAAGUUAAGCCACUGAUACCCACGUAGUGUUUCAGAAAGACAACAUUGCACCCUUUUGUUCGAAAGAAUUACCGUUGGGGAUUUGGUUCCGUGCUACUCAUGCGUGAACUCUUACGUGGGAUGUAUGAAACAUUCUCUGCCAAGUGAGACAAAAGAAGUUAAUGGAAGUUAGUGAGGUACUUUAAACGAGGUUGACCUUCUUUGUUCGUUCCGACUUUGGUGUGCAAUGUUUGUUAAGGAUGAAGCCGAAUAGUUUUAUACAGCACAUAAAUGUUGCUUUGAGUUACAAGCAAGUAAUGUAGCGAUUCUAUCAGACUAUUGUCGACGUGUUUUAAGUUGCUACUGGCUGUCAGUGAACCUUAACUUAUUAGAGUUUUUAGAGAACAGAUCUGCUAUUUCGUUAAUCGUCUUUUAAGUGGUGAGAAGAUUACAGAUGUUCCUCUUAUGCUCUCUGAUAGUUAUUUCAGAUAAAGAAUUUCCGUUUGAACUGGUAUUUUAGAGGGGGGAUACAAUAAUGCUAUUUUCGCUUUGAGAAAGAUCUUUCAAACAAAAUGACUAAAUACAUGACAAUGUCUAUUUUCUACUGUUAACUUUCUUAAAUCAGAAUUGAAAGUACAUACGUCAUGGUCUGCAGAAUUACUGAAGAGCUAAAAUGUUUCACCUAGUUUCUAGGGCCAAGGGUCAGCCAUAUUUUGUUUAAACAUGUUUUAAAACAGGGUUCACUUUUGUUCUUUUAAAAAGGUAAACAGCUACAUGUACCAACCAAAGGAUUGAAUGAAUUUUUGUUUUUCCAGAUGAAAACGUUGACAAGAAUUUUUAUGUGCAUUUCAAAUACUCCAGUUCAUAGUUUUCGUCGCUGGAGAUUCCAUGAUAAUCCCGGAGUUUGCACUCAGCAUAUUUGUUGUUCGCAGAGAGCUCCAGGCAAAAAUGUCUACGCGUUUAAAAUAUAGAUUUUCUCUGGUGGUCAUGGUUGUGAUAUACAGACUACGGAUAAAGGAGUGAACUUAAAUAAGUUAAUAAUAUACAUGAAAAAUGACCCAGUUCUGAUUCGCUAAGCUAAGAAAAGUGCUGUUCUCGUGUACACAAGUGCAAAUUUGUGACGCAGUUAAAAGUGAGGUUUCAAAACAGCGGUUGGGUUCUUGUAAAGGCCAAGCUUCCAUAAUCGAGGAUAAUUCCGACUGAACAAUUUAUUUUUACAGGUUAUUGUCCACUGAAUUUUCUUUGAAAUAUUUUUGAAUGGUUUAAAACUCAAUCUUUACACGUUUCUGAGUUUACAGUUGAAUAACUUUUGAGAGGUAGGAGUUGUAGAGGUUUGAAUUUCCCGAACGUCGUAAUGCAAACUGAGUACCAUAAAAACUCCUGUUGUUUUGGC